GACGAACGCUGGCGGCGUGCCUAAUACAUGCAAGUCGAACGCAGUGGGGACGGGUGAGUAACACGUGGGUAACCUCCCAUCAGAGGGGAUAACACUUGGACACAGGUGCUAAACCGAUACUGAUGGAUGGACCCGCGGUGCAUUAGCUAGUUGGUGAGGUAACGGAUCACCAAGGCCACGAUGCAUAGGCACCCUGGGUGGUGGGUGGGCCUAGUGGGGAUUGAGGCACGGCCCUGACUCCUACGGAAGGCAGCAGUAGGGAAGCUUCGGAAAUGGACGUAAGUGUGGCCGAGCAGCAGCGCGUGAGUGAAGGGGGUUUUCGGAUCGUAAAACUCUGUUGUUAGAGAAGCGGUAUCUAACCAGACGGCCACGGCUAACUACGUGCCAGCGGCCGGAGUAAUUC
rnacentral:rRNA from 1 species